GGCCUACGGGGCGCAGCAGUAGGGAAUCUUCCACAAUGGACGAAAGUCUGAUGGAGCAACGCCGCGUGAGUGAAGAAGGGUUUCGGCUCGUAAAGCUGUGGUGGUAGUGAAGAAAGAUAGAGGUAGUAACUGGCCUUUAUUUGACGGUAAUUACUUAGAAAGUCACGGCUAACUACGUGCCAGCAAGCGGGGUAAUACGUAGGUGGAAAGGGUUGGCCGGAUUUAAUGGGCGGAAAGGGAGUGCAGGCGGUGCCAUAA
rnacentral:rRNA from 1 species